rnacentral:rRNA from 1 species
GGAGGGGCUUGCUGNANCUGAUUUGUGGCGAACGGGUGAGGCACACGUGAGUGNCCUGCCCCUCACUUCGGGAUAACCUGCUCAAAUCGANCNAAUACCGAAUCUCAACAUGUACCGCAUGCCUGGCGGUUGUAAAGAUUUAUGCUGAUNGGGAUGAACUCGACCGCUAUCAUUCUGUUGGUUGAGGUAAUGGCCUUACCAAGACGAUGACGGGUAGCCGGCCUGAGAGGGCGACCGGCCACACUGGGACUGAGACACGGCCCAGACUCCUACGGGAGGCAGCAGUGGGGAAUAUUGCACAAUGGGCGAAAGCCUGAUGCAGCGACGCCGCGUGGGGGAUGACGGCCUUCGGGUUGUAAACCUCUUUCAGUAGGGAAGAAGCGAAAGUGACGGUACCUGCAGAAGAAGCGCCGGCUAACUACGUGCCAGCAGCCGCGGUAAUACGUAGGGCGCAAGCGUUGUCCGGAAUUAUUGGGCGUAAAGAGCUCGUAGGUGGCUUGUCGCGUCUGCCGUGAAAACCCGAGGCUCAACCUCGGGCGUGCGGUGGGUACGGGCAGGCUAGAGUGUGGUAGGGGAGACUGGAACUCCUGGUGUAGCGGUGAAAUGCGCAGAUAUCAGGAAGAACACCGAUGGCGAAGGCAGGUCUCUGGGCCAUUACUGACACUGAGGAGCGAAAGCAUGGGUAGCGAACAGGAUUAGAUACCCUGGUAGUCCAUGCCGUAAACGUUGGGCACUAGAUGUGGGGGACAUUCCACGUUUUCCGCGUCGUAGCUAACGCAUUAAGUGCCCCGCCUGGGGAGUACGGCCGCAAGGCUAAAACUCAAAGGAAUUGACGGGGGCCCGCACAAGCGGCGGAGCAUGCUGAUUAAUUCGAUGCAACGCGAAGAACCUUACCAAGGCUUGACAUGCACCGGGCGACUGCAGAGAUGUGGUUUUCUUCGGACUGGUGCACAGGUGGUGCAUGGUUGUCGUCAGCUCGUGUCGUGAGAUGUUGGGUUAAGUCCCGCAACGAGCGCAACCCUCGUUCUAUGUUGCCAGCACGUCAUGGUGGGGACUCAUAGGAGACUGCCGGGGUCAACUCGGAGGAAGGUGGGGACGACGUCAAAUCAUCAUGCCCCUUAUGUCUUGGGCUUCAAGCAUGCUACAAUGGUCGGUACAAUGGGUUGCGAAACUGUGAGGUGGAGCGAAUNCCAGAANAGAUCCGCCUCACAUUCAUGAUAUGACCUCCCCACUCUGGACGNCCAUGANACGUCCCGACCUCCCGUNGUAAUCGCACUCNCAUGCAUGCGUGGGCGUUUGGAUAUUCCGUUGGUGG